GGGGAUUCCUUAAGCCUAAACACUGCAGUCGAGCGGACAGUAUAGGGAGCUUUGCUCCCUGAUGUUAGCGGCGGACGGGUGAGUAACACGUGGGUAACCUGCCUGUAAGACUGGGAUAACUCCGGGAAACCGGGGCUAAUACCGGAUGCUUGUUUGAACCGCAUGGUUCAAACAUAAAAGGUGGCUUCGGCUACCACUUACAGAUGGACCCGCGGCGCAUUAGCUAGUUGGUGAGGUAAUGGCUCACCAAGGCGACGAUGCGUAGCCGACCUGAGAGGGUGAUCGGCCACACUGGGACUGAGACACGGCCCAGACUCCUACGGGAGGCAGCAGUAGGGAAUCUUCCGCAAUGGACGAAAGUCUGACGGAGCAACGCCGCGUGAGUGAUGAAGGUUUUCGGAUCGUAAAGCUCUGUUGUUAGGGAAGAACAAGUACCGUUCGAAUAGGGCGGUACCUUGACGGUACCUAACCAGAAAGCCACGGCUAACUACGUGCCAGCAGCCGCGGUAAUACGUAGGUGGCAAGCGUUGUCCGGAAUUAUUGGGCGUAAAGGGCUCGCAGGCGGUUUCUUAAGUCUGAUGUGAAAGCCCCCGGCUCAACCGGGGAGGGUCAUUGGAAACUGGGGAACUUGAGUGCAGAAGAGGAGAGUGGAAUUCCACGUGUAGCGGUGAAAUGCGUAGAGAUGUGGAGGAACACCAGUGGCGAAGGCGACUCUCUGGUCUGUAACUGACGCUGAGGA
rnacentral:rRNA from 1 species